rnacentral:pre_miRNA from 1 species
CAGAUACUCCCUCCGUCCCAAAAUAAGUGACACAACUUUGUACUAAUAAGUGACACAACUUUGUACUAAAGUUAGUACAAAGUUGAGUCACUUAUUUUGGGACGGAGGGAGUAGUAU